GAUCAUGGCUCAGAUUGAACGCUGGCGGCAUGCUUUACACAUGCAAGUCGGACGGCAGCACAGAGAAGCUUGCUUCUUGGGUGGCGAGUGGCGAACGGGUGAGUAAUAUAUCGGAACGUACCGAGUAAUGGGGGGAUAACUAAUCGAAAGAUUAGCUAAUACCGCAUAUUCUCUGAGGAGGAAAGCCAGGGGACCUUCGGGCCUUGCGUUAUUCGAGCGGCCGAUAUCUGAUUAG
rnacentral:rRNA from 1 species